rnacentral:rRNA from 1 species
UACAGAGGUCCCGAGCGUUGUUCGGAUUCACUGGGCGUAAAGGGUGCGUAGGUGGUGAGGUAAGUCGGAUGUGAAAGCUCGGAGCUCAGCUCCGAAAUGGCAUUGGAAACUACCUUGCUAGAGGGUUGGAGGGGGGACUGGAAUGCUUGGUGUAGCAGUGAAAUGCGUAGAUAUCAAGCGGAACACCAGUGGCGAAGGCGAGUCCCUGGACAACUCCUGACACUGAGGCACGAAAGCUAGGGGAGCAAACAGG